CACGCACAACGGACACUAAUGUUUUUGUCACUUUUUAUGGAAUCAAACUCAAAAUAAGGAAGUGUAUGGAGCAAUUCUAUUAUAGAGAGAGGGAGCCUUCAAAGCGGCCAGCGCAGCCAGAGGACACCUUGGAAGGAAAGAGGACCAUGUUGAGGAACAGGAUAGAACCCUGCUGAACCAGCACUCUGCAGAGAGAGAGAUCACAAUCAGGGAGAGAAGAGCUGUUGCUGCCUCCGGAAGCUGCUGCCUUUCCAAGGAUGGAAGAGCAAGUUGGUCUCAGGAGAGCAAGUCUGUGGGAACGAUGAGUUUAAAAUAUCACUGGAGAGGAUUGGUUGAGCCUGUGUGUUUCUGUAGUCUGUGUAUAUUAGAUACUGCAGAUUAAUUAAUUUUCCAGCUUUGGUUUCCUCUAUUCAUUAUGAAGUGCAACACAAACAGAGCAGAUAAAUUUAAGAAAGUACAUGCCAUUAAUUAUGGACGGCCUUUUUAGACUUUAUUCUCCACUUAAUUUUAGUUCAGCUAGGGAGGUGUAAACACACAGGAAGGAUGUUCUAGGAAGUAGAUACACAGUUACAUACAGAGAUAAUUUUUGUGACAGGCGUAUUUUCAGAUGUGGAAGCAAUUCACUAAAUCUUAUGAAGUUCCCACGAGUAAGUCAAGAGCAAUCAUUCCUUAGAUGGAACAGCUAAAUGAUGUCUUCAGCCAUGUGUAAAGACCCUUUUAAUAUCGGGAUAUAAGCAGCUCUUAAAGACAUGGAGACGAUGUCAACACAAAUGCAAUUUCCACUGCAUAGGCAUGAAGCAGCCAGACUGUCUGUCCGACCUGCUUUUAAGACAACUUAUUCCAGAAAAACUGCUCAAUAUGGGAUAGACGUCAUGCUGAAAAUCAAUAUAUUUUACACAACAAAACUAGAGCUGUAGCUAACAGCUAUUUUAUUAAUUAUUUAAUGUUCAUCAGAACUUUAGAAAUCUGACAAUGAUUUGUUGAAAUCAGUGUCAGACCUAAAGGAAUCAAAGAAUAUUUGGGUUUUUUUCCCCAUUUGCUUAAAUUAAAAUAGUAAAAUUCUGUGUUGAUACCUUUAAAUAAAAAAUUUGUGAGAUGACACUCCUUACCACAGCACCACCAUGACCCCACCAUUAUGGUCAAAAUGAUUAUCUCAGUGAUUUUGAGAUCCUGAUUAUCUGCCACGAUUAAUCCCUAAUUUUAGUGACAAAAAGUUUAUUGCACUUUCAUGUAACUAUAACCCUGUUUUCACAUUCAAACAUCAACGUAAGACUGGUUCCCCGCAUUCACCUAAAUUCAGUGCAUUUCUUUUAGAAGAAUUUUUUUUUUUUAAAUGUAAUGGCAACUUGGCACUGCUUUCACAUUCACACUGUGCAAUAUUCCUGUAUAUACAUAA